GACGAACGCUGGCGGCAGGCCUAACACAUGCAAGUCGAGCGAGGAGCUAGUCUUCGGAUUAGUGGAGAGCGGCGGACGGGUGAGUAACGCGUGGGAACGUGCCCUUGAGGUUCGGGAUAACAUUGGGAAACUGGUGCUAAUACCGUAUACGCCCUGGCUUUUGUUGGGGGAAAGAUUUAUCGCCUUAGGAUCGGCCCGCGUAGGAUUAGGUAGUUGGUGUGGUAAUGGCGCACCAAGCCUGCGAUCUUUAGCUGGUCUGAGAGGAUGAUCAGCCACACUGGGACUGAGACACGGCCCAG
rnacentral:rRNA from 1 species